AACGAACGCUGGCGGCAGGCUUAACACAUGCAAGUCGAACGCCCCGCAAGGGGAGUGGCAGACGGGUGAGUAACGCGUGGGAACGUACCCUUUACUACGGAAUAACUCAGGGAAACUUGUGCUAAUACCGUAUGUGCCCUUCGGGGGAAAGAUUUAUCGGUAAAGGAUCGGCCCGCGUUGGAUUAGCUAGUUGGUGGGGUAAAGGCCUACCAAGGCGACGAUCCAUAGCUGGUCUGAGAGGAUGAUCAGCCACAUUGGGACUGAGACACGGCCCAAACUCCUACGGGAGGCAGCAGUGGGGAAUAUUGGACAAUGGGCGCAAGCCUGAUCCAGCCAUGCCGCGUGAGUGAUGAAGGCCCUAGGGUUGUAAAGCUCUUUCACCGGUGAAGAUAAUGACGGUAACCGGAGAAGAAGCCCCGGCUAACUUCGUGCCAGCAGCCGCGUAAAAGUCACGUCG
rnacentral:rRNA from 1 species